CAACAACGGAUCUCUUGGUUCCGGCAUCGAUGAAGAACGCAGCGAAAUGCGAUAAGUAAUGUGAAUUGCAGAAUUCCGUGAAUCAUCGAAUCUUUGAACGCACAUUGCGCCCCCUGGCAUUCCGGGGGGCAUGCCUGUUCGAGCGUCAUUU
rnacentral:rRNA from 1 species